rnacentral:rRNA from 1 species
UACGGAGGGGACUAGCGUUGUUCGGAAUUACUGGGCGUAAAGCGCACGUAGGCGGAUUUGUAAGUCAGGGGUGAAAUCCCGGGGCUCAACCUCGGAACUGCCUUUGAUACUGCAAAUCUCGAGUCCGGAAGAGGUGAGUGGAAUUCCUAGUGUAGAGGUGAAAUUCGUAGAUAUUAGGAAGAACACCAGUGGCGAAGGCGGCUCACUGGUCCGGUACUGACGCUGAGGUGCGAAAGCGUGGGAGCAACAGGGA